UGAGAAACUGGCUCCCGUACGAUCACCGAAGUUAAGCACCGUCGGGUCUGGUCAGUAUGUAGAUGGGUGACCGCUUGGGAAUGCUAUGUUCUGUA